CAGCAGCCGCGGGAAUACGGAGGGUGCAAGCGUUAAUCGGAAUUAUUGGGCGUAAAGGGUGCGUAGGCGGUUUGACAAGUCAUCUGUGAAAUCUAUGGGCUCAACCCAUAGUCUGCAGGCGAAACUGUCGGGCUUGAGUAUUGGAGAGGUGAGUGGAAUUUCCGGUGUAGCGGUGAAAUGCGUAGAUAUCGGAAGGAACACCUGUGGCGAAAGCGGCUCACUGGACAAUAACUGACGCUGAGGCACGAAAGCUAGGGGAGCAAACAGGAUUAGAUACCCCGGUAGUCCCUGUCUCUUAUAC
rnacentral:rRNA from 1 species